rnacentral:rRNA from 1 species
UACGAAGGGGGCUAGCGUUGCUCGGAAUCACUGGGCGUAAAGGGCGCGUAGGCGGCCAUUCAAGUCGGAGGUGAAAGUCCAGGGCUCAACCCUGGAAUGCCGGUGGAUACUGCCGGGCUAGAGUCCGGAAGAGGCGAGUGGAAUUCCUGGUGUAGCGGUGAAAUGCGUAGAUAUCGGGAGGAACACCAGUGGCGAAGGCGACUUCCUGGCCUGUUCUUGACGCUGAGGCGCGAAAGCUAGGGUAGCAAACGGGG